GUAUACAUGAAACGGAAGGACAAUAGUGGAAACGGAAGGCAGGCCAUUUUAUCGCGCUGUGAUUGGCUGAGAAGUUGGCGCGAGGUCAUGUACAGGUCAUGAUUAACAUGGAAGGGAGAGAGGAGACCCGUGCACUGCAGCAAGCCAUUGGGGUAUUAAGAACUAUUUUAUCAUCAUCUGAAACAGUCACAUCAUUGUCCUCGUCCCUUGAGCAGCGGAGGACAAGCUCAUCAGGACCUAACGUUUCUCUCAGCACGGCGGAAAGUGAGAUGAGAGAACUUUUCAGACCUCGAAACUCCCAAGUCGCUCCCGCAGCCAGAGCAGCUAACGUUAGCGCUACACAAGGACACACUGGAGGAUUGCGGCAGUCUUUACGAUAUGAGACACAGCAACACUUUGGCAACUGGGGCUCCAGGAAAAGGAAAAGGGCCAAAACACAUUAUCACGAUACUUUUAACAAAGAUGUCAUCCUUCUUCCAAAACCAUUGAGCAGUGCUGUCGUCAGGCAUUGCACAAAGCAACAGUUACAUGAACAGGGAUAGAGCACUGUCUGUCACUGAACAAAUAGGGGAUGCCUUUGGAGAAAUUCUCUUUGUAAGCUUGGAGUUUCUGAUGGCAUGUGGCAACAGACUGACUUCACCUAAACUGCGUGCCGGA